rnacentral:rRNA from 1 species
AUGAAUUGCAUUAUUUGGAAUUGUCGUGGCUGUAGGAAUGCCGCGUCAAUUCAUGAACUUUAUGUCUUGGCAGAGACACAGCAUCCCAAAGUUAUCUUUCUUUCUGAAACUCGUCAAAAGUGUGCUCGUAUGCGUCGUCUUAGGAGUCGAUUAGGCCUUUCUGGUUUUGCUGGAGUUGAUAGUGAUGGUUUAAGUGGUGGUUUAGCUUUGUUAUGGCAUGAGAGUCUAUAUGUUGAAGUCAAGGAUUUGAAUGAAAGAUUCAUUGAUGUUUACUUGCAUGUCUACCCCUUGGCUCCAUUAUGUCAUGCUACUUUUGUGUACGGAGAGUCAUGUUCUGAAAACUGA